AUGAGUAGGUGUAUGGUGGUGAUGGUUUUGGUUCCCAAUGUGAAUUAGGAGGUGGAGGUGGUGGUUCGUUACAAGGUGGGGUAGGUGGGGUUGGGUGUGAUGGAGUUUUUGGGUGUUCGUAUGAUGGUGUUGGUGGUGGUGGUGAUGGGGUUUUUGGAUGCUCGUAUGAUGGUGUUGGUGGUGAUGGGGUUUUUGGGUGUUCGUGUGAUGGUGGAGUUUUUGGAUGCUCGUACGACGGUGUUGGUGGUAGUGGUGAUGGAGUUUUUGGAUGUUCAUACGACGGUGUUGGUGGUGGUGGUGGUGAUUGGGGUUGUGGAUGCUCGUAUGAUGGUGUUGGUGGUGAUGG
rnacentral:misc_RNA from 1 species